GGUGCCGCGCUGGAUUUAAACCUUCCGCCCCGCGCCUCUGCUUCUGCGGAGCGUGUGGUUGGCGCGCUCUUGUGUUGAGGGGCGGUUGUUCUUUGCUGUUUUGAGGAAGCUGCGGGUUCGGCUUCGUGGGGUACGGCUGAGGAAGCACUUGCUCCAUGCAGGUGCUGGCGUUGCCCGGCCCUUCUCGUACUUAGAGCAUUGAGGAUAGGUGAACACUAUGACUCUCGAGGCUCUGUAGUUUCCUAAGUUAUCCAAGAUGUAACGCAUUUGCUUGAACUUACAGGAGAUCUUGUGCUCGGCAUGAUCAUCUUGACGGAAGUUGGUCAGUGAGACCAUCACUGAUUGUGUCAGGCAGUUAAUAUGGAGACAUAAGAUAGCAGUGGCAAAUAGGAAGAACUUCCCUUUGAAUUCAAUGUGACCGGAACAGAAACCAAAUGGAAGGGUAGAGCUCAUCUUCCUUGGAAUUAUUUUCCAUCAGGCACUAACAAGUUCAACGCAUUUGCAGUCCGUGGCUCAGGAGAACACAAAAUAUGAAACGCUUUAUUCUGUGCCUCACAAACUUCAGGAAGGACAGAAACCAGAUUCAUAAGCAUAAAAUGAGUUUUUCUGGAAUAUAUUUGUGCUCUUCUUGGAAUACUUCUAGAAGAAACCAGUCUGAGUGCCACUGGUAUUUUAAUUAUACUGUUUAGCCCUGGAUCCACUGUGUAAAGAUCCAGUUGUGUAAAGAACUGACAGCUGUAAUUAGUGCUUGAUUUCUGUGUUCUCCCCUAGGUGCAUAGCAAAUGAUACAUUCAAUGUAACUUGCAUCUGUUAUCACCUCCCUUAGCUAAAUCUUAGAUGUGUGGUUUUGUUUUUUCCUUGCCUACAGCACCUCUUAAAGUGCUAUUUAGUGUUAAUUGUACUGCAGUAAUAUCCAGUGGAUCUCUUUUGCCUCUCUCCUACUGUUUGAAACAACUUUGCCUUACAGAUGGCUCUGGGUUGUGGGAAAAUUUGAAAAGACAGAUGAAACUGAGAGGUGUAAUGAAAGGAUGUCCAUUAUCAAUAGCAAAACUAGAGUAUAUUGAUAUUUAUAUUGUGCUGUGAGUGGACUACUUUAUUUUCUGAGUGAGUCUGAAAUGACUUCGUACAGGCUGCUGCUUGUGGGCAGUUUGUGUAAAUGAACUAGCACUAGAAGAACUGCUGUAGUUCUCAUAAGAACUUGUUACUCAACAUGAAGUGAUAGCUAGGUAAACUGCAGAAUACCUGUAAUAUUUUUCAAGAAGGGAUUCUUUUUUACAGUACUUCUUCAUAAAAAUCCUGACUUAUUCAGACAUGGAAAGCAGAUGUAUUCAUGUUAAGAGGUCAUUCCUUGCUGCUUUAAUUGCUCUUAGAUUGUCUUCACGUGUUAUUUUGACACUCUCUAUUUAGAGAAUUUCAUUUAAUUGAAUGAUUAAUCGUAUCAGAUAUUCUAUUUACUGUUUAGCAGCUGUGUAAAUAUUAAUAAGAAAUUAGCCUCAGUCUUCUCUCAGUUGUUUCUGUUUGGCAAUGGAAAGGAGAAAUUCUUAGCAAGAACCAAUUCAUAAUGCUUAAAAGCAAAUGAGAUGUGGUCUAAAAGGGAAAAAAAUUCUACUUGCUUCAUUAUCCUGCUCUGUCUUCCUGCUUUCUGUAAGGAGAGGAUAUGCUGUGAUGUACAUUUCCAAUUGGUCAGAAGUUGUAAACAGUAUCUGGCUGAGUGCAGAUAUGUUGUAAAGCAUGGUAUCAUUUUGUUUGUGCUCUGACUGCGUUUUCAGUCAACGUAAAUUGAGAGAGUUUAGAGGUGAGCUCUUUAACUUCACUUCACACUGUGGUACUUGUUGGUAGUUCAGGAUUUUGCCUUCUUUCCAGUACAAGCUUUUCAGUCUUUACAUUUCCAGAAAGCAUGGGAAAAAAACAUCAGUUAAACUUACUGAGAAUGUUCUAAGAUGGUACUAUGAAACUCACUUGUUUUGUUCUCCUUUACCUAUAUAGUCACUGCCUGGAAUUUCUCCAAGAAUUGAACCUGAAAGAACUAAUGGAAUGACUGGAAGCAGCCUGAUUUGGAUAUAUGCAACUCUCACACUAAUUAGCUAAAUGGAUUGAAGCUUGCAUUUUUGAUAGCAUUAAGUUUGGAUGAAGCUGUAUGAGAACAAGUUAUAUUGGGCAGAGAUUGUAAAUAUGAGGUUAGUAAAGCCUUUAUUGACACCAAAAGCACUGAUCAAUCAUAAAACCAACAGUAAAUUUUCUGGGCCAGUUACUUCCAAACGUGUGAAGUGUGCAACUGCUGAUGGAUGUUUCAGUUCAUCUGGGUCUGGAGCUUUUAAUCUGCAGUGCAGAUGAAUUGACUCUUUCAAUGAAGGGAAAAUUGUGUUAAAAUUACAGCUGUGUUUCCAUGAGAGCUCUAAGACUGAUAAGACAAGUAUCUGGCUUGGAAUCUGUUUCUUACAGUUGUGUUUCUGCUGUAUUUUCAUUGUGUUUUGUUUCUCUUGAUUACUGGAUGUGAAACUUGCAUGCCUAAAUCUUUUCUUGCAACCAGGACAGGGAAUGCCUCCUUCAGGAACGGAAGAGAAGGUAACUCUCAUGGCUUUCUGUAAUCCAGUACUCACUGCAAGAUCCUGUGGAGGUACAACACUAGCUAUCCCCAUUCCCCCAGAGUUUUCACUUGCACACUGCUGGUGGGAAAAUUUUAUCUAUUACUUAUUAGCAGAAGUUUCUUGUUCAAAUUCAGUGUGGAAUUUCUAGUGAUAAUUGUGCACAGAGGGCAGUCUUAAACAGGUUUUAUGCACUCCAGGCAAAGCUUCUGGGGAAAGUCAUAUUUAGGAAGGCCUGGAUACAGUUGUAUGCCUACAAAAGCUUGGCCUUUUCAUGUCACCUUAAGGAUUCAGCUCAGAUAUAUAUAAGAAAACUCAGCCUAACAAACAUUGUUUGCUUGCCACUUAAUCCUGGAAGUAUGUGCAUGUGUUGUUGGUACCUACUUUUCUCCUCCUUAGCAUGAGUAUUUGAUUGCCACUGAGUACUGUUGGAUUGUAAGAUCUAAUCUGUGAACUUUCACAGAACUUAGCUGUUCCUUUCUUGUCCUUUCCAAGGCAUUCCUUGGAAAAUAGGAAGCUUUCCCACUAACCUGAUCCUAUGUCUGAAAAGUGGAUGUCUGGAAAAUCAAAAUUGUUUGGUUUAGUUGAGAAUGAGAAGCAUUUGAUUCAAGACAUGGUUCUCAGUCUCUUAUUACUAAGAGGAUUCCCUGCAUCCUGUUGAACUGUCACCAUCACAGGGUGGAAGCUGGUCAUAUUUUUUUGGUGAGAAGGAUUGUUCUGAGAGUCUGAGGGCAUAUGGUUGAGUCAAGUGAGAGCUCUUGUAGCUUGGAAGGCCAAUAGUAUCGUGGGCUCCAACAGAAGAGGGGUGGCCAGCAGGGGCAGGGAGGUGAUUGAACCUCUCUACUCUGCCCUCGUGAGGCCCCAUCUUGAGUACUGUGUCCAGAUCUGGGGCCCCUGAUAGAGGAAAGAUGCGGACCUGUUGGAGAGGGUCCAGAGGAGGGCCACAAAGAUGAUCAGAGGGCUGGAGCACCUCCACUGUGAAGACUGGCUGAGGGAGCUGGACUCUUUUUCAGCCUGGAGAAGAGAAGGCUGUGAGGAAACAUCAUUGCAACUUUCCAGUAUUUAAAAGGUGAUUAUUAGCAGGAGGGGAAUCAACAUUUUACUUAAGAAGAUAGUGAUAGGGCAAGGGGGAAUGGUUUUAAGAUCAUGGAGGGAAGGUUUAGAUUGGGUGUCAGGCAGAAUUUCUUUACAGAGAGUAUGGUGCUGUAACAGGCUGCCCAGAGAGGCAGUGGAUGA